AGUGUGCGAUGUGUUGCAUACAUAUUUAUAAACAAUUCCUUUAAAUUUAAUUCUUCAAUUUUUAACAUACAGAAAGUGAUUAAACAAAUUGUUCACAAAAGUGAAUUUCGAUCACUCGAAGCAAUGGUGCUAACAGUUUCGAACUCACAGUGACUGAUGGGGAGGAAGAACUAGUAAUACGUAACAAAUAAAAGUAAUGUCCUUCUGUACAGUAUGCCUGUUAGAGGGAAAUUCCUUACAAGCUAUGGGUCAUAAGAAAACUUGAACAGCACUUUAGUCUUAUAAAGAAAGUUUUUCAAACUAUUCCUCUAUGCAGUUUUCGUUGUGUAUUGGUUUAUUUGUUGUGAAUGUGGACUCUACAGUGUUGUUGUUCCAGAAUUAUUCUUUCCAAUUCAUCAACUACAUUGGACAGGUAGGAUUAAUGUUUACCAGUUUUGUUUAAUUUGAAAUUAAUUUAUCCUAUAUUAAACAAGCUGAAAGUAUCAAAAGGUAUGGCAUUUGUUGUGAGGCACUUUCAAUUCCCCAACUUAAAUAUGUUGAUUUAAUUUAUUGUUAAAUUAAUUUCAUCCUUACUAAGUGAGCUAAUUGAGCGAAAAGAACUUUAGAUUUGGAAUGUCCCUUCAACCCCCAAUUUUAAAUACGGUGUUUUUAUUUCUUGAUAAAUUAAUUUCUCUCUUAUUAAACCAGCUGAAAGUACCAAAACGUAUUAAAGUUACGAAUCAUCACUAAAAAGAAGUUUUUAGGUGAAAAUUAUUGGAGUGCGCUUACAACCUUCAAUUUAAAAGCGUUGUUUUAGUUUUUGCUAAAUCAGUUAAUCCUGUUGAAAGUAUCAGAAUGUAUUAAAGUUGAAUUUAAAGAAUUUUAUAGGUGAAAAUUAACCCUAAACCUAUGAACAUUGUUUUUUUUAUUGAUAAAUUAAUUUCUCUCGUAUUGCACGAGCUGAAAUUACCAAAAUGUAUUAUUGUCGUUGUAGAGCAUCAGUUAAACGAAUUUUAUGGUUGAAAAUUAUCAGGGUGCAUUUUUAAGCCCCAAUUUAAAGAAAUCGUUUUUAUUUCUUGAUAAAUUAAUUUCUCUCUUAUGAAGCGAACUGAAAGUAUCAAAAUGUAAUAAAAUCGUCGGAGGUGAACACAAACUAAAAUAAUUUCCCACCUCUAUGUGUCUAAAACGUACUAGUGAAUAUUUUAAACCCUCUUUGAAAACGGAGUGUUUAAGUUUAAUAAAUAAAUUAUAAUUGCUUUUGUUGGCUGACGAUCAAAAUACUUUGCAGUACUGUGGGUUGCCUGCAUAUAAGGACUGGAAAUGGUAGUAUUUAUAAGUAUUAAAUUAUCAUGUUACCUUCCAGCCAAAUUAAAUGAGAGUGCCCUGUAGCCUAGUUAAAGAUAGAAAUGUUACAGUGUGACUCGAAAUUUGUAAGCAACUAAAUUUUUGGAUUUUAAUAAAAUAA